GACGAACGCUGGCGGCGUGCUUAACACAUGCAAGUCGAACGGAAAGGCCCUUCUUUUGUGGGGUGCUCGAGUGGCGAACGGGUGAGUAACACGUGAGUAACCUGCCCUUGACUUUGUGAUAACUUCAGGAAACUGGGGCUAAUACCGGAUAGGAGCUCCUGCUGCAUGGUGGGGGUUGGAAAGUUUCGGCGGUUGGGGAUGGACUCGCGGCUUAUCAGCUUGUUGGUGGGGUAGUUGCUUACCAAGGCUUUGACGGGUAGCCGGCCUGAGAGGGUGACCGGACACAAUGGGACUGAGAGACGGACCAGACUGCUACGGGAGGCAGCAGUGGGGAAUAUUGCACAAUGGGAGGAAGCCUGAUGAAGCAACGCCGCGUGCGGGAUGACGGCCUUCGGGUUGUAAACAGAUUUCGCCUGUGACGAAGCGUGAGUGACGGUAAUGGGUAAAGAAGCACCGGCUAACUACGUG
rnacentral:rRNA from 1 species